rnacentral:rRNA from 1 species
AAUAGAUCCCGGGUAGUCCACGCCGUAAACGAUGAGUGCUAAGUGUUAGGGGGUUUCCGCCCCUUAGUGCUGCAGCUAACGCAUUAAGCACUCCGCCUGGGGAGUACGGUCGCAAGACUGAAACUCAAAGGAAUUGACGGGGGCCCGCACAAGCGGUGGAGCAUGUGGUUUAAUUCGAAGCAACGCGAAGAACCUUACCAGGUCUUGACAUCCCGCUGACCGCUAUGGAGACAUAGCCUUCCCUUCGGGGACAGCGGUGACAGGUGGUGCAUGGUUGUCGUCAGCUCGUGUCGUGAGAUGUUGGGUUAAGUCCCGCAACGAGCGCAACCCUUGAGAUUAGUUGCCAUCAUUCAGUUGGGCACUCUAAUCUGACUGCCGGUGAUAAACCGGAGGAAGGUGGGGAUGACGUCAAAUCAUCAUGCCCCUUAUGACCUGGGCUACACACGUGCUACAAUGGACGGUACAAACGGUUGCCAACCCGCGAGGGGGAGCCAAUCCGAUAAAACCGUUCUCAGUUCGGAUUGUAGG